rnacentral:rRNA from 1 species
GGGAGGCAGCAGUGAGGAAUAUUGGACAAUGGGGGCAACCCUGAUCCAGCAAUGCCGCGUGAGUGAUGAAGGCCUUAGGGUUGUAAAGCUCUUUCGGCGGGGACGAUGAUGACGGUACCCGCAGAAGAAGCCCCGGCUAACUUCGUGCCAGCAGCCGCGGUAAUACGAAGGGGGCGAGCGUUGUUCGGAAUUACUGGGCGUAAAGGGCGCGCAGGCGGCUCUGAAAGUCAGAUGUGAAAGCCCCGGGCUUAACCUGGGAACUGCAUUUGAUACUCUGGAGCUUGAGUACGGGAGAGGAGAGUGGAAUUCCCAGUGUAGAGGUGAAAUUCGUAGAUAUUGGGAAGAACACCGGUGGCGAAGGCGGCUCUCUGGACCGUAACUGACGCUGAGGCGCGAAAGCGUGGGGAGCAAACAGGAUUAGAUACCCUGGUAGUCU